GGGUAACGGCCCACCAAGGCAUCGACGGGUAGCUGGUCUGAGAGGACGAUCAGCCACACUGGGACUGAGACACGGCCCAGACUCCUACGGGAGGCAGCAGUGGGAAUAUUGCGCAAUGGGCGAAAGCCUGACGCAGCAACGCCGCGUGCGGGAUGAAGGCCUUCGGGUUGUAAACCGCUUUCAGUGGGGACGAAUUCAGACGGUACCCACAGAAGAAGCCCCGGCCAACUACGUGCCAGCAGCCGCGGUAACACGUAGGGGGCGAGCGUUGUCCGGAUUUAUUGGGCGUAAAGAGCUCGUAGGCGGCUCCGUAAGUGAGGUGUGAAAACUCCAGGCUCAACCUGGAGACGCCACCUCAUACUGCGGUGGCUAGAGUCCGGUAGGGGAGCAUGGAAUUCCUGGUGUAGCGGUGAAAUGCGCAGAUAUCAGGAGGAACACCAGUGGCGAAGGCGGUGCUCUGGGCCGGUACUGACGCUGAGGAGCGAAAGCGUGGGGAGCAAACAGGAUUGGAUACCCUGGUAGUCCACGCCGUAAACGUUGGGCACUAGGUGUGGGGCCUUAUCAACGGGUUCCGUGCCGCAGCUAACGCAUUAAGUGCCCCGCCUGGGGAGUACGGCCGCAAGGCUAAAACUCAAAUGAAUUGACGG
rnacentral:rRNA from 1 species